UUAUUAUUCUCGUACUUUAGGGUAACAGUCGUUAUGAGCCAGCUACUGAUGUGAGGGCUCAGCUAAAAGUCCUGGAGCGUAUUGAUGAAGUGAGUGCCACAAGGAAACAAGAAAGAGAGAAAGAAAAGAUUAUCCGUGCUGCAAAAAGUCGCUCAAAACAAGAUGACCCAGAGCUAGCCAAGAUGAAGGAACAAGCCAAGCAAAUCCAAAUAGCAGAGGAGAGAGAGAUACACCAGAAAGCAGCUAAUGUACAAGCACUGGCUGCUAUUGGAAGGAGAAAGAG